rnacentral:lncRNA from 1 species
GGUAACUUCUUAGACCAAGUCUAGAAACAGUCUGAGGACAAUAACAAUUCCAUUCUAAAAAGAAUCUCCCAACAUUUCUUCUAUCUCAACCUCAACUGCAUCUGCCUGUGAACUUCCAGCUUACCAAGGCUCUAUAUCUUCUGGCAGUGACAAAGGCUCCUUCCAUGGUUGGUGCAUCAUAGCUGGGAAACGGAUUCACAAGACCCAGGCUGUUCCCUACAUAUGUUUCCUCCUCCGACAUCAGUUCAUCAGUCAAUCAAGCCAUGUGAGAGUGGAGGCCUUGUAUUCCCUAUUAUUCUUGGGCACUCUACUCCAAGUAGGAAAAGGCCAGGAGGUCCUGUUAAAGGAUGCACUCAGAGCCCGGGCUCCCUAACAUAUGAGAGUGCUAACCAGCAGGUGUAGACUUUUCAGGAGUGAAGAAUGAGGCAG